rnacentral:rRNA from 1 species
AAGCCCCGGUUAACUUCGUGCCAGCAGCCGCGGUAAUACGAAGGGGGCUAGCGUUGCUCGGAAUUACUGGGCGUAAAGGGUACGUAGGCGGAUCGUUAAGUCGGGGGUGAAAUCCUGGAGCUCAACUCCAGAACUGCCUUUGAUACUGGAGAUCUUGAGUCCGGAAGAGGUGAGUGGAACUCCUAGUGUAGAGGUGGAAUUCGUAGAUAUUCGGAAGAACACCAGUGGCGAAGGCGGCUCACUGGCCCGAUACUGACGCUGAGGUACGAAAGCGUGGGGAGCAAACAGGAUUAGAUACCCUGGUAGUCCACGCCGUAAACUAUGAAAGCUAGCCGUUGGGGGGUUUACCUUUCAGUGGCGCAGCUAACGCUUUAAGCAUUCCGCCUGGGGAGUACGGUCGC